rnacentral:rRNA from 1 species
UCCGUUUGAUCCCGGCGGAGGCCACUGCUAUCGGAGUUCGAUUAAGCCAUGCGAGUCGAGAGGUGAAAGACCUCGGCAUACUGCUCAGUAACACGUGGACAAUCUAACCUACGGAGGGGGAUAACCCCGGGAAACUGGGGAUAAUACCCCAUAGACUAUGGAUGCUGGAAUGCUUUGUAGUCGAAAGGUCCGCCGCCGUAGGAUGGGUCUGCGGCCGAUUAGGUUGUUGUUGGGGUAACGGCCCAACAAGCCUGUAAUCGGUACGGGUUGUGGGAGCAAGAGCCCGGAGAUGGAUUCUGAGACACGAAUCCAGGCCCUACGGGGCGCAGCAGGCGCGAAAACUUUACAAUGCGGGAAACCGUGAUAGGGGAACUCCGAGUGCCCGUUAAAUCGGGCUGUCCAUCUGUUUAAAUAACAGGUGAAGAAAGGGCCGGGCAAGACCGGUGCCAGCCGCCGCGGUAAUACCGGCGGCUCGAGUGGUGGCCACUAUUACUGGGCUUAAAGCGUUCGUAGCUGGUUUGUUAAGUCUCUGGGGAAAUCUUCCGGCUUAACCGGAAGGCGUCUCAGGGAUACUGGCAGACUAGGGACCGGGAGAGGUGAGGGGUACUCCAGGGGUAGGAGUGAAAUCCUGUAAUCCUUGGGGGACCACCUGUGGCGAAGGCGCCUCACCAGAACGGCUCCGACAGUGAGGGACGAAAGCUGGGGGAGCAAACCGGAUUAGAUACCCGGGUAGUCCCAGCUGUAAACGAUGCGCGUUAGGUGUAUCGGUGACCACGAGUCACCGAGGUGCCGAAGAGAAAUCGUGAAACGCGCCGCCUGGGAAGUACGGUCGCAAGGCUGAAACUUAAAGGAAUUGGCGGGGGAGCACCACAACGGGUGGAGCCUGCGGUUUAAUCGGACUCAACGCCGGGAAACUCACCGGACAAGACAGCUGAAUGAUAGUCGGGCUGAAGACUCUACUUGACUAGCUGAGAGGAGGUGCAUGGCCGUCGUCAGUUCGUACUGUGAAGCAUCCUGUUAAGUCAGGCAACGAGCGAGACCCA